CCUACGGGUGGCAGCAGUGAGGAAUAUUGGUCAAUGGGCGGAAGCCUGAACCAGCCAAGUCGCGUGAGGGAUUAAGGCCCUGCGGGUUGUAAACCUCUUUUGCCGGGAGCUGUGGUCCGGACGCGUCCGGACCGGGAGAGUAUCCGGAGAAAAAGCAUCGGCUAACUCCGUGCCAGCAGCCGCGGUAAUACGGGGGAUGCGAGCGUUAUCCGGAUUUAUUGGGUUUAAAGGGUGCGUAGGCGGGCAUUUAAGCCGGCGGUCAAAUGUCGGGGCUCAACCCCGGCCUGCCGUCGGUACUGGUGGCCUUGAGUGGGCGAGAAGUAUGCGGAAUGCGUGGUGUAGCGGUGAAAUGCAUAGAUAUCACGCAGAACCCCGAUUGCGAAGGCAGCAUACCGGCGCCCUACUGACGCUGAGGCACGAAAGUGCGGGUAUCGAACAGGAUUAGAUACCCUAGUAGUC
rnacentral:rRNA from 1 species